UAUAAGAGGUCCCGCCUGCCCUGUGACCAUGAGUUUAACGGCCGCGGUAUUUUGACCGUGCAAAGGUAGCGCAAUCACUUGUCUUUUAAAUGAAGACCUGUAUGAAUGGCAUAACGAGGGCUUAACUGUCUCCUUUCCCCAGUCAAUGAAAUUGAUCUCCCCGUGCAGAAGCGGGGAUGCUUACAUAAGACGAGAAGACCCUGUGGAGCUUUAGACACUAAGCCAGACCACGUCAAAUACCCCCUCUUAAAGGACUGAACCUACUGGACCCCUGCCCUAAUGUCUUUGGUUGGGGCGACCUCGGGGAAACAAAAAACCCCCGCGUGGAACAGGAGUACCCCCUCCCGAAAUUAAGAGCCACGGCUCAAACUAACAGAAUUUCUGACCAACUAAAGAUCCGGCCUCACGCCGAUCAACGGACCGAGUUACCCCAGGGAUAACAGCGCAAUCCCCUUUUAGAGCCCAUAUCGACAAGGGGGUUUACGACCUCGAUGUUGGAUCAGGACAUCCUAAUGGUGCAGCCGCUAUUAAGGGUUCGUUUGUUCAACGAUUAAAGUCCU
rnacentral:rRNA from 1 species